rnacentral:rRNA from 1 species
AUUGAACGCUAGCGGGAUGCUUUACACAUGCAAGUCGAACGGCAGCGCGGACUUCGGUCUGGCGGCGAGUGGCGAACGGGUGAGUAAUGUAUCGGAACGUGCCCAGUAGCGGGGGAUAACUACGCGAAAGCGUAGCUAAUACCGCAUACGCCCUACGGGGGGAAGCAGGGGAUCGUAAGACCUUGCACUAUUGGAGCGGCCGAUAUCGGAUUAGCUAGUUGGUGAGGUAACGGCUCACCAAGGCGACGAUCCGUAGCUGGUUUGAGAGGACGACCAGCCACACUGGGACUGAGACACGGCCCAGACUCCUACGGGAGGCAGCAGUGGGGAAUUUAGGACAAUGGGGGCAACCCUGAUCCAGCCAUCCCGCGUGUGCGAUGAAGGCCUUCGGGUUGUAAAGCACUUUUGGCAGGAAAGAAACGUCGCGGGCUAAUACCCCGUGGAACUGACGGUACCUGCAGAAUAAGCACCGGCUAACUACGUG